GAACUGUGAGACAGGUGCUGCAUGGCUGUCGUCAGCUCGUGUUGUGAAAUGUUGGGUUAAGUCCCGCAACGAGCGCAACCCUUAUCCUUUGUUGCCAGCGAUUAGGUCGGGAACUCAAAGGAGACUGCCAGUGAUAAACUGGAGGAAGGUGGGGAUGACGUCAAGUCAUCAUGGCCCUUACGACCAGGGCUACACACGUGCUACAAUGGCGCAUACAAAGAGAAGCGACCUCGCGAGAGCAAGCGGACCUCAUAAAGUGCGUCGUAGUCCGGAUUGGAGUCUGCAACUCGACUCCAUGAAGUCGGAAUCGCUAGUAAUCGUGGAUCAGAAUGCCACGGUGAAUACGUUCCCGGGCCUUGUACACACCGCCCGUCACACCAUGGGAGUGGGUUGCAAAAGAAGUAGGUAGCUUAACCUUCGGGAGGGCGCUUACCACUUUGUGAUUCAUGACUGGGGUGAAGUCGUAACAAGGUAACCGUAGGGGAACCUGCGGUUGGA
rnacentral:rRNA from 1 species